rnacentral:rRNA from 1 species
CCUACGGGAGGCAGCAGUGAGGAAUCUUGGUCAAUGGGCGCGAGCCUGAACCAGCCAAGUAGCGUGAAGGAUGACUGCCCUACGGGCUGUAGACUUCUUUUAUAAAGGAAUAAAGUGAGGCACGUGUGCCUUUUUGUAUGUACUUUAUGAAUAAGGAUCGGCUAAGUCCGUGCCAGCAGCCGCGGUAAUAGGGGGGAUCCGAGCGUUAUCCGGUUUUAUUGGGUUUAAGGGGAGCGUGGAUGGGUGGUUAAGUCAGUUGUGAAAGUUUGCGGCUAAACCGUAAAAUUGCAAUUGAUACUGGCAGCCUUGAGUACAGUUGUGGUAGGCGGAAUUCGUGGUGUAGCGGUGAAAUGCUUAGAUAUCACGAAGAACUCCGAUUGCGAAGGCAGCUUACUAAACUGCCACUGACAUUGAUGCUCGAAAGUGUGGGUAUCAAACAGGAUUAGAUACCCCAUAGUC